rnacentral:rRNA from 1 species
UACGUAGGGCGCAAGCGUUAUCCGGAAUUAUUGGGCGUAAAGAGCUCGUAGGCGGUUUGUCGCGUCUGCCGUGAAAGUCCCGGGCUUAACCCCGGAACUGCGGUAGGAACGGGCAGACUAGAGUGCAGUAGGGGAGGCUUGAAUUCCUGGUGUAGCGGUGAAAUGCGCAGAUAUCAGGAGGAACACCGAUGGCGAAGGCAGGUCUCUGGGCUGUAACUGACGCUGAGGUGCGAAAGCAUGGGGAGCGAACAGG